UACGUAGGGCGCAAGCGUUGUCCGGAAUUAUUGGGCGUAAAGCGCGCGUAGGUGGUUCGUUAAGUUGGAUGUGAAAUCCCCGGGCUCAACCUGGGAACUGCAUCCAAAACUGGCGAGCUAGAGUAUGGUAGAGGGUGGUGGAAUUUCCUGUGUAGCGGUGAAAUGCGUAGAUAUAGGAAGGAACACCAGUGGCGAAGGCGACCACCUGGACUGAUACUGACACUGAGGUGCGAAAGCGUGGGGAGCAAACAGG
rnacentral:rRNA from 1 species